GUGCUCGCUUUGGCAGCACAUAUACUAAAAUGGAAUGAUACAAAGAAAAUUAGCAUGGCCCCUGUGCAAGGAUAACACCCAAAUCUGUGAAACAGUCCAUCUAAAA
ensembl:snRNA U6 U6 spliceosomal RNA